rnacentral:tRNA from 1 species
GCGACCAUAGCUCAAUUGGAUAGAGCACGAGCCUACGAAGCUCGGGGUUGCAGGUUCAAGUCCUGCUGGUCGCGCUA